UAACCGCAAGGUCAAAAAUAAUAUCAGGGGAUAGGUGUUUUAAUACGGUAGGGAGGAUUUUAUCGAUAGCGCUGGAGGUUUUAUUGGAGAGGUAUCUGAGAAUGAUUUUGAUGGCAAUGGGGUCGGUAAAAAAAUUUUCUAAUUGUGAGUUGCCGGUAGGGUUAGAAGCUUUAUUAGUUGUGUUAAAAUUCGUGAUAGUUUUGUUGUCAUUUAUAUCUGCGUUUAACUGUUCUUCGAAGUUGAUCCGAGUAAUAGUUUCGGAGAUACAGCCCUGAAAAGACGGACGCUCGAGGCCAGGUAAUUCAAAGUGUCUAGAGCCGUUUAAAGUGUCUAGAGCCCAGAUAAGCCAGGGUUCGUCAUCGACAGGAGUAAAAGGAUGCCCUGGACAUUGCAGCUGCAGCAGGUUCUCUACUUUAUGGCCCAGGAAUCGACGAUUCAAUAUAAUCCUGAAAGAAGUUCUGCUGACAACGCGGAGGCACCUUUUUUCCGAGCGACUGCCGGAAAUGGCGUCGUAAUGGCCGCCAUCUUGAUAUUUUUUUUUGAA